UGAAGAUGAGAGAUGUGAGGAAAAACAAACGAAACUUUUUGCUGUUGUCAUUUUAUUCAGUCCUCAUUAUAAUCUAAUGGAUCAGACACCUAGUGUACUUCUAUUGAACUACAUAUUAUUAUAUGAAUUUUCAAACCUUGCGGGCAUUUUCAAAUUUUUCUAAGGAAAUCCAUAUUAACAUAUAUUCAUGAAUGUUUUUCACAAUGAAGGAAUAACAUCAUGUAAUGAAAAUCAUAUCCACAAACUUGAGGUGUGGUUUUGUCAGACUGUACAUAAAUGUGAAGAAUGUUUUAAAGCUUAGUGAACGUGAAUUGGGAAGCAGCUCAAAAACUUCUUGGCAUGAUCAAUAUAAGGACAGUGCAUGGAUAUUUGUUGGUGGACUUCCAUAUGAUUUGACUGAAGGAGAUGUUAUAUGUGUAUUUUCUCAGUAUGGUGAAAUUGUAAAUAUAAACAUGGUAAGAGAUAAAACAACUGGGAAACCAAAAGGAUUUGCAUUUUUGUGCUAUGAGGAUCAAAGAUCAACAAUUUUAGCAGUUGACAAUCUGAAUGGUAUUAAGAUUCUUGGGCGUACAUUACGUGUUGAUCAUUGUGAACAGUAUAAGGUUCCAAAUGCAGACAUGAGCAAAAUUGAUGAAGUCACAGCUGCAAUAAGGAUGGAAGGAUGUGCUCCAGUUGCCCCAAAAAUUGAAAUCGUGAAAGAGGAAAAUGUAAAAGAAGGGAAAGUAAAGAAAAAGAAAAGCAAAGAGAAAAAGAGCAAAAAAAAGAAGAAAAAAAUUAAAAGUUCAGGCACUACUUCUAGUGAAUGAAAAUGUAGAGCAUUCUUCUGAUUUAGCUUUUUUAUUAUAAAAUAAACUGGAUCGCAAACUAGACGCAAAUUAUGAUUCCUAUGGUUUCUGUUGAAUUUAAAACAAUAUAUGCAAUGAAAAGAAUAAAAUUAAAUAUAGUAAAAUCACAGGGUGGGUUAAAGCUCUACAUACAUAUAAUCUAUGAUUAAUACUUUAUGACAUGGGAAGCCUUCAUUUACUGUUUGUUACUGUGUGUAGGUAAGUCUCUAUUUUAACACAGACCAAUAAUACGAAUAUCGAUAACAUAUCCACACUUUGACAUUCAUGAGACUUCUCAGAUAAAACUAGAGGCAGUGGCACAAAUGGAUAUUUCCACAAA